AGAUAUGAAACUUUAAAAACAAUUACAAAUUUAGACAAAAUUAGUCUAAAUUUGUAAUUGUUUUUAAAGUUUCAUAUCU